GAUGAACGCUAGCGGCAGGCUUAACACAUGCAAGUCGAGGGGUAGAGGCUUUCGGGCCUUGAGACCGGCGCACGGGUGCGUAACGCGUAUGCAAUCUGCCUUUCACAGAGGGAUAGCCCAGAGAAAUUUGGAUUAAUACCUCAUAGCAUUACAGAGUGGCAUCACUUUGUAAUUAAAGUCACAACGGUGAAAGAUGAGCAUGCGUCCCAUUAGCUAGUUGGUAAGGUAACGGCUUACCAAGGCAACGAUGGGUAGGGGUCCUGAGAGGGAGAUCCCCCACACUGGUACUGAGAAACGGACCAGACUCCUACGGGAGGCAGCAGUGAGGAAUAUUGGUCAAUGGGCGCAAGCCUGAACCAGCCAUGCCACGUGCAGGAUGACGGUCCUAUGGAUUGUAAACUGCUUUUGUACGGGAAGAAACACUCCUACGUGUAGGAGCUUGACGGUACCGUAAGAAUAAGGAUCGGCUAACUCCGUGCCAGCCGCCGCGGUAAAAC
rnacentral:rRNA from 1 species